rnacentral:rRNA from 1 species
CGCUAUCACUCCUACGGGGAGGCAGCAGUAGGGAAUCUUCCACAAUGGGCGCAAGCCUGAUGGAGCAACACCGCGUGAGUGAAGAAGGGUUUCGGCUCGUAAAGCUCUGUUGUUAAAGAAGAACACGUAUGAGAGUAACUGUUCAUACGUUGACGGUAUUUAACCAGAAAGUCACGGCUAACUACGUGCCAGCAGCCGCGGUAAUACGUAGGUGGCAAGCGUUAUCCGGAUUUAUUGGGCGUAAAGAGAGUGCAGGCGGUUUUCUAAGUCUGAUGUGAAAGCCUUCGGCUUAACCGGAGAAGUGCAUCGGAAACUGGAUAACUUGAGUGCAGAAGAGGGUAGUGGAACUCCAUGUGUAGCGGUGGAAUGCGUAGAUAUAUGGAAGAACACCAGUGGCGAAGGCGGCUACCUGGUCCGCAACUGACGCUGAGACUCGAAAGCAUGGGUAGCGAACAGGAUUAGAUACCCUGGUAG